CUCAAGCGAGUAUAAAACCAUCCCCCAUCUCUGAGUGUCUGGACGCUAGGGAGGCGCCAAUGAUACUCCUCUCUCUCUUCUCUCCUCUCCUCUCCUCUCCUCUCCUCUCUGAGAAGCCCUCACAGAAGUUCGAAGCCCUUAUGGAUUCGCGAUCUUUGUCAAACCCUAGCGGAGCUCUUUCUUUCUGCUCUCUUUCUAUCUCUCUAGCCCUCACGGAAGCUCAGAAGCAUUAUCUAGACGGAUUUGUGAUUGCUCUCAAACCCUAGCGGUGCUCUCUCUCUCAGUCGUUCUUCACUUGAACCAGAGUAUUGCACAGAGGCAUAUCAGAUUCUGAGUUGAUUGUUGCCCAUUUUCACCAUUUGUGUUUGAUCAGUGGUUUUCAGUUGAUAUUCAUCCAUACAAGUUAUACUUCUUAGAAGAUUGCAGUACUCACAUUCCUCUUUUCUUUGUUUCUUUCACAAGAAAUAUUUCUAGAAGGGAGAGUGGAAUGGCAAUAGUCUGGAAUAUUUGUCAUGCCUUAGUUAACCUUCUUAAAUUUAAUUCUUGGGGUACCUUUUAUGGUUUAAGAUGGUUCGUCUUAAUUAUUAGCCAAGCUCUUGUUUUCGCCUUGGUUUGCAUAAAACAUUUUGAUUGCUUGUUUUACCACAGUUUCAAAUUGAAUAUCCUAGUUUUGGUUUGGAGUUUUGACAAAUAAAUUUGAGAUGAUUAACUAUGUCUAAGGUUUGAACGCAUGGCCGUGUUGCCUUCAAUUUGUACAAAUACUUGGAACACACAGAUUAUUUGGCCAUGGCAAGAUAGUUUUCUCUCUUUAUUGAGAAAAUAUGAUGUUUUAUGGAAUUCUGUUUUUUGUUUGACUUCAUUAUAUGGAAACAAAUGAUGUGCCUAUCAAAGGGCAAGUUGAUGGAUU